rnacentral:rRNA from 1 species
AUGAACGCUGGCGGCGCAUUUAAGACAUGCAAGUCGAACGAAAACGAACAAAUUAAGAAGAGUGGAAGAUUUAUCUGAAAUGAUUUUUAGACCGUGAGUUUUAGUGGCGGACGGGUGAGUAAUACAUAGAUAAUCUACCUUUUAGAGGGAAAUAACUAGGAGAAAUCCAAGCUAAUGUCCCAUAAGACCACAUUACCGCAUGAUAAAGAGGUCAAAGGAGAAAUCCGCUAGAAGAUGAGUCUAUGGCUGAUUAGUUAGUUGGUGGGGUAAGAGCUUACCAAGACAAUGAUCAGUAGCCGAGCUGAGAGGCUGGCCGGCCACAUUGGGACUGAGACACGGCCCAGACUCCUACGGGAGGCAGCAGUUGGGAAUAUUGGACAAUGGAGGGAACUCUGAUCCAGUGACGCCGCGUGAAGGAAGAAGGUCUUCGGAUUGUAAACUUAUUUUAUCAGGGAAGAAAUAAAUGACAGUACCUGAAGAAGAAGGACCGGCUAACUACGUGCCAGCAGCCGCGGUAAUACGUAGGGUCCGAGCGUUAUCCGGAUUUACUGGGUGUAAAGGGCGAGUAGACGGAACUGCAAGUCAGAUGUGAAAUGCUAGAGCUCAACUUUAGAACUGCAUCUGAAACUGUGGAACUAGAGUGCAGGAGAGGUAAGCGGAAUUCCUAGUGUAGCGGUGAAAUGCGUAGAUAUUAGGAGGAACACCAGUGGCGAAGGCGGCUUACUGGACUGUAACUGACGUUGAGGCGCGAAAGUGUGGGGAGCAAACAGGAUUAGAUACCCUGGUAGUCCACACUGUAAACGAUGGAUACUAGGUGUAGGCAUGAAUGUGUCUGUGCCGUCGCAAACGCAGUAAGUAUCCCACCUGGGUAGUACGGGCGCAAGGCUGAAACUCAAAGGAAUUGACGGGGGCCCGCACAAGCAGUGGAGUAUGUGGUUUAAUUCGACGCAACGCGAAGAACCUUACCAAGUCUUGACAUCCCUCUGACCGGAACUUAACCGUUCCUUCCCUUCGGGGCAGAGGAGACAGGUGGUGCAUGGUUGUCGUCAGCUCGUGUCGUGAGAUGUUGGGUUAAGUCCCGCAACGAGCGCAACCCUCGUGAUUAGUUGCCUUGAAGAAAGGAACUCUAAUCAGACUGCCGUAGUUAAUACGGAGGAAGGUGAGGAUGAUGUCAAAUCAUCACGUCCCUUAUGUCUUGGGCUACACACGUACUACAAUGGGUGUUACAAAGAGAAGCGAAACCGUAAGGUGGAGCAAAACUGAAAAAAGCAUCCCUAGUUCGGAUUGUAGGCUGCAACCCGCCUACAUGAAGCUGGAAUUGCUAGUAAUCAUAGGUCAGCAUACUAUGGUGAAUACGUUCCCGGGCCUUGUACACACCGCCCGUCACACCAUGAGAGUUGAGAAUACCCGAAGUCCAUGUAAAAGUGGCCGAAGGUAGGCUUGAUGAUUGGGGUG